UGGGUGCGAUCAUACCAGC
rnacentral:rRNA from 1 species